rnacentral:rRNA from 1 species
GACGAACGCUGGCGGCGUGCUUAACACAUGCAAGUCGAACGGAAAGGCCCUGCUUUUGUGGGGUGCUCGAGUGGCGAACGGGUGAGUAACACGUGAGUAACCUGCCCUUGACUUUGGGAUAACUUCAGGAAACUGGGGCUAAUACCGGAUAGGAGCUCCUGCUGCAUGGUGGGGGUUGGAAGGUUUCGGCGGUUGGGGAUGGACUCGCGGCUUAUCAGCUUGUUGGUGGGGUAGUGGCUUACCAAGGCUUUGACGGGUAGCCGGCCUGAGAGGGUGACCGGCCACAUUGGGACUGAGAUACGGCCCAGACUCCUACGGGAGGCAGCAGUGGGGAAUAUUGCACAAUGGGCGGAAGCCUGAUGCAGCAACGCCGCGUGCGGGAUGACGGCCUUCGAGUUGUAAACCGCUUUCGCCUGUGACGAAGCGUGAGUGACGGUAAUGGGUAAAGAAGCACCGGCUAACUACGUG